rnacentral:rRNA from 1 species
GAUGAACGCUAGCUACAGGCUUAACACAUGCAAGUCGAGGGGAAACGACAUCGAAAGCUUGCUUUUGAUGGGCGUCGACCGGCGCACGGGUGAGUAACGCGUAUCCAACCUGCCCACCACUUGGGGAUAACCUUGCGAAAGUAAGACUAAUACCCAAUGAUAUCCCACGAAGGCAUCCGAAUGGGAUUAAAGAUUUAUCGGUGAUGGAUGGGGAUGCGUCUGAUUAGCUUGUUGGCGGGGUAACGGCCCACCAAGGCAACGAUCAGUAGGGGUUCUGAGAGGAAGGUCCCCCACAUUGGAACUGAGACACGGUCCAAACUCCUACGGGAGGCAGCAGUGAGGAAUAUUGGUCAAUGGGCGAGAGCCUGAACCAGCCAAGUAGCGUGCAGGACGACGGGCCCUAUGGGUUGUAAACUGCUUUUAUAAGGGAAUAAAGUGGGUCACGUGUGACUUUUUGCAUGUACCUUAUGAAUAAGGACCGGCUAAUUCCGUG